rnacentral:rRNA from 1 species
GAUGAACGCUGGCGGCGUGCCUAAUACAUGCAAGUCGAGCGAACAGACGAGGAGCUUGCUCCUCUGACGUUAGCGGCGGACGGGUGAGUAACACGUGGAUAACCUACCUAUAAGACUGGGAUAACUUCGGUAACCCGGAGCUAAUACCGGAUAAUAUAUUUAACCGCAUGGUUCAAUAGUGAAAGACGGUUUUGCUGUCACUUAUAGAUGGAUCCGCGCCGCAUUAGCUAGUUGGUAAGGUAACGGCUUACCAAGGCUACGAUGCGUAGCCGACCUGAGAGAGUGAUCGGCCACACUAGAACUGAGACACGGUCCAUACUCCUACGGGAGGCAGCAGUAGGGAAUCUUCCGCAAUGGGCGGAAGCCUGACGGAGCAACGCCGCGUGAGUGAUGAAGUUCUUCGGAUCGUAAAACUCUGUUAUUAGGGAAGAACAACUGUGUAAGUAACUAUGCCCGUCUUGACGGUACCUAAUCAGAAAGCCACGGCUAACUACGUG